GAUGAACGCUGGCGGCGUGCCUAAUACAUGCAAGUCGAGCGAACGGACGAGAAGCUUGCUUUUCUGAUGUUAGCGGCGGACGGGUGAGUAACACGUGGAUAACCUACCUAUAAGACUGGGAUAACUUCGGGAAACCGGAGCUAAUACCGGAUAAUAUUUUGAACCGCAUGGUUCAAAAGUGAAAGACGGUCUUGCUGUCACUUAUAGAUGGAUCCGCGCUGCAUUAGCUAGUUGGUAAGGUAACGGCUUACCAAGGCAACGAUGCAUAGCCGACCUGAGAGGGUGAUCGGCCACACUGGAACUGAGACACGGUCCAGACUCCUACGGGAGGCAGCAGUAGGGAAUCUUCUGCAAUGGGCGAAAGCCUGACGGAGCAACGCCGCGUGAGUGAUGAAGGUCUUCGGAUCGUAAAACUCUGUUAUUAGGGAAGAACAUAUGUGUAAGUAACUGUGCACAUCUUGACGGUACCUAAUCAGAAAGCCACGGCUAACUACGUG
rnacentral:rRNA from 1 species